AGAGUUUGAUCAUGGCUCAGGAUGAACGCUGGCGGCGUGCCUAACACAUGCAAGUCGAGCGAUUCUCUUCGGAGAAGAGCGGCGGACGGGUGAGUAACGCGUGGGUAACCUGCCCCUGUACACACGGAUAACAUACCGAAAGGUAUGCUAAUACGAGAUAAUAUGCUUUUAUCGCAUGGUAGAAGUAUCAAAGCUUUUGCGGUACAGGAUGGACCCGCGUCUGAUUAGCUAGUUGGUAAGGUAACGGCUUACCAAGGCGACGAUCAGUAGCCGACCUGAGAGGGUGAUCGGCCACAUUGGAACUGAGACACGGUCCAAACUCCUACGGGAGGCAGCAGUGGGGAAUAUUGCACAAUGGGCGAAAGCCUGAUGCAGCAACGCCGCGUGAGCGAUGAAGGCCUUCGGGUCGUAAAGCUCUGUCCUCAAGGAAGAUAAUGACGGUACUUGAGGAGGAGGCCCCGGCUAACUACGUGCCAGCAGCCGCGGUAAUACGUAGGGGGCUAGCGUUAUCCGGAAUUACUGGGCGUAAAGGGUGCGUAGGCGGUUUCUUAAGUCAGAGGUGAAAGGCUACGGCUCAACCGUAGUAAGCCUUUGAAACUGGGAAACUUGAGUGCAGGAGAGGAGAGUGGAAUUCCUAGUGUAGCGGUGAAAUGCGUAGAUAUUAGGAGGAACACCAGUUGCGAAGGCGGCUCUCUGGACUGUAACUGACACUGAGGCACGAAAGCGUGGGGAGCAAACAGGAUUAGAUACCCUGGUAGUCCACGCCGUAAACGAUGAGUACUAGCUGCCGGAGGUUACCCCC
rnacentral:rRNA from 1 species